UAGUAUAUCAUAAAUAUCAUAACAUGACAUGAAUAUCAAUCAUAUAGUCUUUAUCAUGUAAUUAACAUAUUAGUCAUCACAUAUCGGUCAUCUAUAUCAGUCAUAUUACGCAUCUUAGCUACAUCAAUGCAUAAUGGAAAAUACACAUGCAAACUCUUAAUUCUAUUUUCGAAGGUCUAAUAGUAGAAUCUUCUACCUACCUCAAGAUUAGCUUAACAAAAAUUAUUCCAAAUAACCACAGUCAAAGAUAGUCAAAGAUAGUCAAGCAGACAAAUCAUAAACAUAAACAAAACUGAAUUAAUAAAUUUGUCAUCCAAACAUUAACUUAGAUCUCCAAUUUACCCCAAGGCUAAGGUUGAAACCAAAACAACCUUGAAUAGGAACAAUUUCACAAACUACACCUCUUUCCAAAAUGCCCCUGACCUUCAAAGAAACAAAAUCUAAGUUUAAGAAAAUUCAAGGUAAACUCAAGAUUAAUUUACUUAUACCAAAUAAAUUGAUAUUUGAUGGGCAUACCAAAACUCAAUCAAAUACUCACAAAAAAUUAACCAAAAUAGGAAAGUGGCUCAACUUGGCUAAACAAGAGGAAGGGAGGAGGGCGGACAACUCGCAACUCGAGAUGACUCUGUAAGAGGCUUUAGCGCGCACGACUCAGUGAGGACCACGUAUGGCUUCAAUGGAAGAUAAAUAGCUUGCGAUAGAGAUGAGCUCCAAUUGAGAUAGAGAUGAAAAGCGAUGAAGAUGGGCGGUGGCCAGACUUGCUUGAUGGAAGGAACACGAACGACAUGUAAGGCUUUACGAACUCGUAAAGGAGAGGAACGGUGUGGCUUUGUUGAAGCGGAUGAAAAUUGACUGCGUGAACAGUGAGAUGUUCGUCAAACGAUGGUGGUGAACGAACGGAGAUGGAAAUAGGCGUCGACGACUAAGGUUCUUUAUGAGGAAGAAGAUGGAAUGCACACAGAACGAGAAGACCUAUUUAAAAUAUUGUUAUUAUUACUAUUAUUAUUAUUUUACUUUUCUUUUUCUUUUUCCUUUUCCUUUUCUUUUUCCCUACAAAAAUAACUCAAAUCUUCUCUCUUUAUUAAAUUCCAUAUCAAAUCUUUUUUUUUUUAUCUUCUUCCAAAAAUAUAACAUAUUUCCUUAUAUAAUUAUAUUAUCCCCAUAAU
rnacentral:lncRNA from 1 species